rnacentral:rRNA from 1 species
UACGGGGGGGGGCAAGCGUUGUUCGGAAUUACUGGGCGUAAAGGGCUCGUAGGCGGCCAACUAAGUCGGAUGUGAAAUCCCCAGGCUCAACCUGGGAACUGCGUCUGAUACUGGAUGGCUUGAAUCCGGGAGAGGGAUGCAGAAUUCCAGGUGUAGCGGUGAAAUGCGUAGAUAUCUGGAGGAAUACCGGUGGCGAAGGCGGCAUUCUGGACCGACAUUGACGCUGAGGAGCGAAAGCCAGGGGAGCAAACGGG